rnacentral:lncRNA from 1 species
CUCGCCUUGUCGUUCGCGGUCGGAGGCUGGGCGCUGGCGCUAAUGGGAAUCCGGGCAGCGCGGCAGGCGGGACUCAGACCUGGCCACCGCGUCAGGUGGACCUGGGCUCUGGUCUCGGCUCCCCGGCUCGCGUUUGUGUUGACCUUGGCCCAAGCGCAGUGUGCUCUGUGGCGAAAUCCGAGUAGGAGUGACCCCUCUGGGGUGAUAUCGAGCGUGCUGGCGUUCCUUUCAGCGGCACAGGGAUUGCAGGGUGCAGAGUCAUGAGAACAUCACUGUCCCGGGAAGGGACCCUGAGUGGCAGGCAGCCCCAGAGCGGACUGACCGAAGCGCGCGCUGGACGUUUCCUCCCUGUGUUCCUUCGCAGUGUCGAGUUUCCUCCGCCCUCUGCCCUCCCUCUUUUUUGCGUGUAACCAUCAGAAGGGUUGCAAAACUCGUGCCAGGAACACCCAGGUGACUCUUCUCCAUUCAUUGCUUGUUAGCAUUUUGCUCUAUUUGUGACCUUGCGCUGCGUCUUUUUUUUUUUUUUUUUUAAAGCUGACAGCAACCGGUAUUCCCCGGUGGUCUCCCAUCCCAAGCACUAACCAGGCCUGACCUUGCUUAGAGGACCGAAGAGCAAUUGCCUAGCAUGCCUAAGGCCCUGGGUUCAAUCCCCAGAACUAUGGGUUAGGGGAAAAGACCCCAUAAUCGUUUUGUUCUGAAUUAUUUGAGAAUAGUUACAGAGAGCCCCUUUUUAAAAAAAAAAAAAAAAUAUUAUGUGUUUUUUUAUACAUUUAAUUUUAUGUGGUGCCGAGGUUCUACCCAGUGCCUCACACAUGCUAGGCAAGCGCUCUGCCACUGAACUAUAACUCCAGCAACGGUCCUUUAAAUAUUAAUAAUUGAAUACACAUCUCACAGGAGCAAGGUGUUCUCUUACAUUAUCUCAAUAAAUUAUCACAUUUAGGAAGUUCAAUAUUGAUAAAAUUCUGUUAUCAAGCAUCCAGUACAUAUUCCCAUAUCCCCAUUUGUUCCAAAUAUCUUUUGUGUGUGUGUGUGUGUGUGGGGGGGUACUGAAGAUUGAACCCCAUAGCACUGAGCUUCGUCCCCAGCCCUUCUUAUUUUAUGAGAUUGGGUCUUUCUAAGGCUGACCUCCAUCUUUGGAUCCUCCUGUUUCAGUCUCCUGUCUCUGGGAUCAUAGACAUGCACCAUGUUUUUUCCUUACUGAACCCUUUUUUUUUUUUUUAAGCAAAUGACAAAGACCCAGUUUACCAACUUUUUAAACCAAGGCUUAACAUUACAUAUUUAAACAAUUGCUAAAACUUAAAAGUUGUCUGCAUUCAUGCACAACUGGAAAACAUCCUUAAAUUUAUAUUAAACCAGAAAUGUAUUACCAUUAAUGCAUUAAUAUCUUUCACUACUAAAUACUUUAAAAAACAAAUUAUAUCUUUUUUUGUUAAUUUUUUAAAUCUGUAUAUGACAGCAGAAUGCAUUACAAUUCAUAUUACACAUAUAGAGCACAUUUUUCAUAUCUCUGAUGAUGUACAAAGUAUAUUCACACCAAUUUAUGACUUCAUUCAUGUACUUUGGAUAAUGAAGACCAUUACAUUCCACCAUCAUUUCUAACCCCCUGCCCCCUCCCUUUCCCUCCCACCCCUCUGCCCUACCUAGAGUUCAUCUCUUCCUCCCACGCUCCCCCUCCCUACCCCACUAUGAAUCAGCCUCCUUAUAUUAGAGAAAACAUUCGGCAUUUGGUUUUUUGGGAUUGGCUAACUUCACUUAGCAUUGUCUUCUCCAACUCUAUCCAUUUACCUGCAGAUGCCAUGAUUUUAUUCUCUUUUAUUGCUGAGUAAUAUUCCAUGUGUAUAUAUGCCACAUUUUUUUUUAAUCCAUUCAUCUAUUGAAGGGCAUCUAGGUUGGCUCCACAAUUUAGCUAUUGUGAAUUGUGCUGCUCUAAACAUUGAUGUGACUGUGUCCCUAUAGUUGCUUUUUUAAGUGGAAUCAUUUCUGUGGGAGGUGUACCCUGGCAGUGUUAGCUCACUUCGGGCGGCACUACUUGGCUCACCUGUUGGACACAUGGAGAGCAGACCUGUGCUGGUGUUAGAAUGCAGUCUUGGCCUAGCAGUACUCAAAGUCAAGCUCACAUUGUGUUAUAUUUUAUACAAAAGCAAAGUGCAUAUGGAAAUUACAACAAUUUUAAAGACAAAAAAACAUGGUCCUAUUGUGUGAUCCCAAAAAUAAACUCAAAGUCUAUGACAAGUAGGAGCUCCAAUGAGCUGUUUAUAAAUACUUUAGGCACAAUUAUACUGAAAGUCAAGUUUGUUUAAAUUUUUUAAAAAAUGUUCCUGUUACCCCUCAAAUGGUGCUUGUUAUAGUUUAACAUUUCUGUUUAAUGCAUGUGUGGAAUUACUUGUUAUCCAAGCAUAGUAGCUGCUCCUUGCCAUUUAUCACUAAGGACUUUUACUGGCCGUCUCAACUUCUACUUUCUUUACCUUCUCAAUAAUUCUCUUUGUAAUGAUUUUCAUUACGUUACUAAAUACUUAAAAACAAACUGAAAUUAUUUUCUGCCAGUAGAACAAUUUCAGUAGAAGUUGCUAUAGAUUUGAAGUUGCCCAUCCUACUGCCACCAAAUCAUGUAGAAGAAGAAAAUGUAAUGAGGCCACUGUGACCUAGUGACCCAAUGAAGAAAAUCCACCUCGAAAUGAUGGAAAUCCACUGAAAGCGAGAAAAACAAGCCUGCACCUUGGUUUCUGCUUCCUUGGGGACCCUUUUGAUUCCCAAAAAAGUCUUCAAAUGGGUCUUCAAAGAAGUCAAAUGAAAAUGGGUCCCUUCCACCAAAAAAUUCCCUGCAGAUAUCAUCUGGGUUCCGGACUGUCAAAAUGACUUCCACCUCCUCCUUCAGCAGUUAAUCCUUCUUUGCCAUGCUUGUCAUAGAUGUCAUGCUUUAGCAUCUGAUAACACCUCAUGUGCCUUGGCUACUUGUUUGAAUUUUCUCUGUGCUUCUGCAUUAUUUUGAGGAUUUGUAUCUGGAUGCCACUUUAGUGCCUGUUUCUGAUAUGCCUUUUUGAUAUCUUCGGGUGAGGCAUGCCUCUGCAUGCCUAGAACUUCAUAUAAUUCACCAUGUUUUAACAGAUUAUUGGAACAAGUCCCAGGACGGUGUGGUGGGCAGGACAGGUCUGGCAGGGCUGUGCUGGUGGCAGCAGCAGCAGUGGCUCCUUUGCCAUUUUCUUUUUGUCCUUUAUCUGACAACAAACUGGACUUGUGGUUUUGCAGUUCCUUUUCAUUUGCAUGUACAAUGAAUACUUGCUGGUGGAUAGUGCUCUCUUGGGUUCCAAGUCCACUUCAUCUGUGUCUUCUGCAGAGAUAGAUGACUCACAGAUAGGCUUAACAAAAGUUUGUUGACUUCAUCCCAGGCCAUUGCUAAGCUUGUUUUGCUCUGCUUUGAGGUUUUUCUUGGUACUUUAUUCCUCUGCAUGAGGAAGGAAUAGUUUUCGGUGUCUUCAAGGGUUGCUGAGGGCUGGGGGGUGUAGCUCAGUGGUGGAGCUCUUGUGCAUGCAUAAGGCUCUGGGUUUGUUCCCUAGAACUGCAAAAAAAAAAAGUGUGUGGAGGUAAUUUGCAAAGGAACAGUGAAGGCUGUUGAGGUGGUACAAACCUGCUACUCAAAAGGGGGUCAGAUGUGCCCUUACCUGUCUUUCCCCGUGUUCUCUACUUUUAUCCUGUUUCAUAUAGGCCUAGCCCUGCCAGGGACUUGAAGCAGAGGCAUGAUUUCCUUCUGUCUUUACUCAAUUAACUGCCUAAAGGGCACAGUCUCUGACUUGGUUUGUCAUUGUGUUUCUCAAUACGUAGCACACUGCAAGUAACUGGCUGAUAGUUGUGGAAUAACUGAGGGAAGGUUUGCUGAUACUUGGCAAGUACCAGUCUGACAUCUCCUACUGAUCUGCCGUCGUAAUUCCUUAUUUUUACGUGACAUAAGUCAUUACAAUAGCUGAAAGUAAUGUUUCUACAAGUCAUACUCCAGAAGAUCUCAUUAAUUGAUUAGGACACCUGAAGAGUUACUCAGCCAUUAUGGAAAGUGCUGAAGAAAUUAGGCUGAGCAGAUCUUCUUGGUCUUAUUUAUUUAUUUAAUUUUGGUACCAGGGAUUGAACCCAGUAGUACGUAACCACUGAGUCACAUCUCCAGCCCAUUUUUUAAUUUUAUUUAGAGACAGGAUCUCACGGAGUUGUUUAGGGCCUUGCUAAGUUGCUGAGGCUCGUUUUGAACUCAUCAUCCACCUGUCUCAGCCUCCUGAGCUGCUGGGAUUACAGAUGUGUGCUAGUACACCCAGCUUAUUUAUUGUUUAUUAUUAUUAUUUUUACUUUUUUGGUACUUGGGAUUGAACCCAGGGUGCUCUACCACUGAGCUAUGUCCCCAGACCUUUAUUUUUUAUUUUGAGCAGAGUCUUGCUAAGUUGCUGAGGCUGGCCUUGAACUUUUUGAUCAUCUUACCUCACCCUCGCAAGUAGCUGGGAUUGUAGGCAUAUACCACUGCACCCGGAUGGUCUUUUUUUUUUUUUUAAUAUUUAUCUUUUAGUUGUAGUUGGACACAAUACCUUUAUUUUAUUUUUUGAGAGAGAGGAGGGGGAGAGAGAGAGAGACAGACAAAUUUUUUUUUAAUAUUUAUUUUUUAGUUUUCGGCGGACACAUCUUUGUAUGUGGUGCUGAGGAUCGAACCCGGGCUGCACGCAUGCCAGCGAGCGCGCUACCGCUUGAGCCACAUCCCCAGCCCAACAAUACCUUUAUUUUAUUUAUUUAUAUGUGGUGCUGAGGAUCAAACCCAGGGCUUUGCACGUGCUGGGCGAACCCUCUAUCACUGAGCCACAACCCCAGUCCCGGCCCAGCUGGUCUUAAUUCUUAAAGGUGUGGAAAGCUCUUAUUUGUAAACUCAUUCCCCCCUCCCCUGCAAAGUAUUUUGAUUUUUUUUUUUUUCUUCCAGAGGCUAAAAGCUGCUGUUCACUACACGGUGGGUUGUCUUUGUGAGGAAGUCACCUCGGACAAAGAGAUGCAGUUCAGCAAACAAACCAUUGCAGCAAUUUCAGAGUUAACUUUUCGACAGUGCGGUAUGAAGCCAGGGUCUUCCUCUCUGUGUCUAUCUAUCCCGUAGGUUGGUCUGCCUGGGAGCAGUGUGCGGGUGGGACUGUGGUGUCUCUUACCCACACACGGAGGAUGUCAUCAUCGUCACAUUCUUCAUGAAAAACUUUUCCUGGCUGUGAGAUUUGGACAUUUUAUGGGAAGAACUGUUAGAGUUUUUUUCCUAUUGCACCAACACUAAGGUAUUAACGCCUUUUUUAUUAUCUUUUAAACUGCCCUGAUGGCUAGAACAUUAGACAUUAAAUUUUUUAUUUCAAUGCUUUAUAACAUUUUUAUAUCACGUGUUUUGACAGCUGAAUUUGUGGUAUUGGUACUUGCUUAACUUUAGAGGAAAUUAGUGCCCUCACAAGCCCUAACCUGUUGCAGAAUUUAAUAUUAAAGUAUAGUUCCUAUAGUUUCUAGAAACUAAAGGUGGAGUCAUAAUUAAUGGAAGGCUUAUAAUAAAGGGUGGAGGCUGUGAGAAGGACAAGGAGGUCAUCAUGAUUAAAAAAGCUAAGGGCUGUGGGGCUGGGAUUGUGGCUCAGUAGAGCUGCUUGCCUAGCAGGCUCAGGGCCUUGGGUUCGAUCCUCAGCACCACAUAAAAAUAAGUGAAUGAAAUAAAGGUAUUGGGUCCAACUACAACAUACAUAAAUAAAUAAAUAAAAGCUAAGGGCUGUUACCAAAUGAUGGGGCUGCCUGAAAUGCCUCCACUCCUCUUUAAAAGGGUUCCCUGUGUUAAUCA